rnacentral:lncRNA from 1 species
GAAGGAGCGGCGCGUGGCUGCAGGACGCUGAGGAGCCGCUGCAGAGGAGUUGAGCAAAGCUCCACGUUCACCCCUCCCACUGGAAGGGAGAUGGAUCAGUUCAAAAACAUGAAAAACAACCCUGGGAAUGCUACCAGCAGCCAAAAUGAGAGCUGUUUCCCAGUUGCUGUGCUUCCCAGAGCUGGCUGUCAGGAGUUCCCACCACACAGGCAGGAGAGCGGGGUACACCUGACUGAGCAAGGAAGUGACUGGAACUUUCAGCUGUUCUUCAUGGCUGAGACCUGCCAGCAUGGCCUCUGUGUGGAAAUUCUCCUGGGACGAGGCCAGAAAGCUUGAUCUUUCAGCGUUUCCCUGACCCGUGCCUCAGUCUGCAUUGCCAGCCCCAGCACAACCUCAGCUUGGAUCUGUCCAUGCUAGUGAAGAGCUAUUCUGGAAAAUGAUGACAAGGAAGGAAAGCCAGCCCACUCACUUGAGGCAAGCAGAUACAAGCCAACAUACCUCUUCAUUCCACCUGGAAAAGGAAAAUGAGAGUAAA